AUGUAUCCUGUUGUUUCUUUCUUUCUGGCAGGCACACCUGAUUCUAGAAGACUAUACGCAUGUUGCGAGAUACUAGAAGCUGUCAUGUAUGCUUGCAAAGAGGGGCUGGAGAUUGCUAUACAGAAAAGUACGUUGCCCAUUCAAGUUGAGGUGAAUUCUGCCACUGCGGCAAUGUUGUUAAAAAGUGAAGUGGAUGAUAGAUCAAGGUUCGCGUUCCUCGUGCGCCGCGAUGUUAAGAAGUUACUUAGAAGCAAUAAUUCUUGUAUUACUCAUGUAUCUAAUACUCAGAAUUUAGCUAGUAUCUCUUUGGCAAUUUUUGCUAGAGACGGCAGUAGAACAAUGACCUGGGUUGGGUCUGGACCACCGGAGGUCCUUCAGGCUGCUGCAAUUGAUUGUAAGGAUACUACUAUUGAGUAA
rnacentral:rRNA from 1 species